AUUGAACGCUGGCGGCAUGCUUUACACAUGCAAGUCGGACGAGUGGCGAACGGGUGAGUAAUAUAUCGGGACGUACCCAGUAAUGGGGGAUAACUAAUCGAAACAUUAGCUAAUACCGCAUAUUAUUCGAGCGGCCGAUGUCUGAUUAGCUGGUUGGCGGGGUAAAGGCUCACCAAGGCGACGAUCAGUAGCGGGUCUGAGAGGAUGAUCCGCCACACUGGGACUGAGACACGGCCCAGACUCCUACGGGAGGCAGCAGUGGGGAAUUUUGGACAAUGGGCGCAAGCCUGAUCCAGCCAUGCCGCGUGUCUGAAGAAGGCCUUAGGGUUGUAAAGGACUUUUGGCAGGGAAGCGGUACCUGAAGAAUAAGCACCGGCUAACUACGUGCCAGCAGCCGCGGUAAUAC
rnacentral:rRNA from 1 species